UGCCCACGUUAUUUCAGAAAGCUGACGAGUCACGGGUACAUUGCUCUCAGACUUCAUGAACCACAGUACGGCUCAAACUGUUUUCCCACAGCAGCUUUGACCUUCUGUCAAACAGCCACUUCAGGACUCGGAAAAGCACAAGAAUUUUCCAAGCCUACCAAUUGCCAAUUUACACCAUUUGAAUAGAGCUCGCACACGCAGAUGGAUGGCCUUUGGGCUGCUUUGGAUGAACAUAAAGGGAAGUUGGUAGCCUUAGCGAAAGCUCACACCACAACGCCAAAUCCCUAAUACUGUUACAGCAGGACUUGGAACGAUGCCAGUAAAAUAAUUCACACCCAUGUGCAAGCUGCACUCAAGGGGCACAGUCUUCACUUGCCUCCCUGUUCCUUGAGACACAACCGUAUUGAAAUUAGGCCAAUUAAUGGUUUAGUGGUCUGUAUAGAAGAUCAAAUCAAGCACAACAUUCCCUUAAGCCAAAGUCUAAUCCAGAGCAAGGCCCUAUCUUCUCUUUAAUUCUAUGAAGACUAAGAGAGGUGAGGAAGCUGCAAAAAAAAAGUUUGAAACUAGCAGAGGUUGGCUGAUGAGAUUUACGGAAAGAAGCCAUCUCCAUAACAUAAGAGUACAAGGUAAAGCAGUAAGUGCCGAUGUAGACGCUACAGCAAGUCAUCCAGAAGACCAAGCUAAGAUAACUAAGGAAGGUGGCUGCACUAAACAACCAAUUUUCAAUGUAGACAAAACAGCCUUACACUGGAAGAAGAUGCCAUCUAGGAUUUUCAUAGCUAGAAAGGAGAAUUCAAUGCCUGGCUUGAGUGCUUCAAUGGACAAGUUGACUCUCUUGUCAAGGGCUAAUAUAGCUGGUGACUUUAAGUUGAAGCCAAUUCUCAGUUACCAUUCCAAAAAUCCUAGGGCCCUUAAAUUAUGCUGAAUCUCUUCUUCCUGUGCUCUAUAAAUGGAACAAAAUAGCCUGGAUGAUAGCACAUCAGUUUACAACAUGGUUUACUGAAUAUUUUAAGCCCACAGUUGAGACCUACAGCUCAGGGAAAAAAAAAACAUUCCUUUCAAAACAUUACAGCUCAUUGACAACCUGGUCAUCCAAGAGCUCUGAUAAAGAUGUACAAUGAGAUUAAUGUUAUUUUCAUUCCUGCUAACAUUCUGCAGCUCAUGGAUCAAGGAGUUAUUUCAACUUUCAAGUCUUAUUAUUCAGGAAAUAUAUUUCAUAAGGCUACAGCUGCCAUAGGUAGUGAUUCCUCUG